rnacentral:tRNA from 1 species
UGGGGUUUUGGCUCAGUGGUAAAAGCACUUGCAUAGCAAGCAUGAGGCCCUGGGUUCAAACCUCAGCACCAUAA